rnacentral:lncRNA from 1 species
UUUUUCAAAAAAUCACCUUUAUUUUUCUUGAAAAUCGUACGUCCUCCAAUUUGCUUCCUAGUCAUUUUUCAAAAAUAGUCUAUUCAAUUUUCAAAAAACGAUUAUUUUUCAGAAAACCACCCGCUGUUCCUUAUAACCGAACAUUUUUCAACCUAUUUCCCAGUGAUUUUCCAAAAUAUGAAAAUGAUUUUCUGAAAUGAAACUUCAAACAGAUUUUAUGAAGUUUACCUCAAAACCUUCGUUUUUGCUCUGUUUCAUCCCAAAUCAAUACUAACAACUCCAAAACUUUCCAACUUUAUUUUAAUCACAUCUAACAUGAUCUCUAACCUUACUUUUCCUAUUUGGUCAAAGUUCAGUGUAUUGUAACGAAAUUCAGUAUAUUACACAGCUAGCUCAUCUACAUUACAAAUUUUGAUGACCAGUCCAUAAUUAACAAUGUCUGUGCAAAAUUUCUUUGGACUAAAAUCCUUACCUUAGUCCCUCCAAAAAACUCAAACGCCGAAGAUGACUUUAUAGUACUACAGGUUGUUAUUACUAAUAAGCAAUACUAUCAGCAUACUUUAAGUAGGUGUAAACCUUACACCUAACUCAUUCAGGAGCUUUUAUUCCCUACUAAUUUUAUUAACUAUUUUUUUAUUAAAAGCUCAUGUAAUUUUUGUAAAUCUUAUAAUGAUGGAGACGUAAGAUUUACACCUAUGCAUGCAUACAGAGAUAGCAUUUCUUUUUUUCUUGUCCUAAUAUAGUACCCAACUUAGGGCCUGUUUGUUUCAUUGUAAGUGGGAAAGGGGGAAGUGAUUUUUAGCAAAAAUUGAUCACUUCCACUACUUGUUCACCGUAAUAUUAUUACGGUUGAAAGUUCAGUUCACUCAAAACACCGAAUUGGCUUUGCUCUUCCAUAGGGCGAAGUUAAUUCCGGUGAAGUGAAGGAAAAGAGAAUGAAAACUUAAUUACGGUGAUGUUUUAGGGUUACUCUCUCAUAGGGUGAAGUGAAGGAAUGUUUUUUUUUUUUUUUUUAAUUUAUAUGCACUACAAAAAUAUAAUUAAUAACAUGAGAAAUGCUAGUUGUAUUUCAUCCAAAUAUAUUUAAUUGUGAAAGUAAUUAAUUUUUUAUUUAGAUAGAUUACAUGUUUCUAAUAUGAUGAAGUUUGGUUAGUUAAGUUUCAAUAUAUCUUUUAUUUAAUUUGCAUAUUUGAAAAAUGAUAAAAAUUAAUUUGUUAAAUGUUAAUAAUUCUUUAACUUUAAAAUUUUAUUUAUUGCAUUAUUAUAAUUUAUAUAUGAAAAAAUUAAUAUAAUUAUUUUAAAUUUUAUUUUAUAAUUGUAUAGACAUAUAAUUACAUUGUUUUUUAUUUAUUAUAACUUAUUAUUUAUUAACUUAGAAAAGAGAUAAUAAUAUUACGUAGGAGGUAAGUUUACCAUAGGUGUGGGGAUUGAAUAAUUUUCAAUGAAACAAAUAGAGGAAGUGAAGAGCUGCAUAUUUUACGUUAUUCACUUCCUGCUAACACAACAUGUUUGUUUCACUGGAACUGGAUUUUGGAUUGAAGUGGAGUUCGGUGGAAACUAUUUCUUUUCCGCUGUUUGUUUCGUAGUUAUGGAAGUGAAGUUUCAUUAGUUCUACUGUUUGUUUGGUAAGAAGUGUAUGGUGUAAAACUAUAAUUUAUGUAUAAAUAAUAAAUAAUUUAAUAAAUAAAAAUAAUAUAAUUAUAUUUUUAUAUAAUUAAAAUUUAAUUUAAAAUAAUUAUAUUAUUUUUUAUAUUUAAAUUAUAGUAAUUCAACAAUAAAAUAUUAAAGUAAAAAUAAUCAAUUUUUAUCAUAUUUUAAAUAUACAAACUAAAUAAAAAAUAUUAAAACUUAAUUAAUCAAUUUUUAUCAUAUUUUAAAUAUGUAAAUUGAAUAAAAAUAUUAAAACUUAACUAAUCAAUUUUUAUCAUAUUUUAANUGUACAAACUAAAUAAAGAAAAUAUUAAAACUUAACUAAUCAAUUUUUAUCAUAUUUUAAAUAUAUCAACUGAAUAAAAGAGUAAUUAGUAUCAUAAUUAAAUAUAUUUAAAUAUAAUUAUCUUUACCUAAUAUAUUAUUUUAUUAUUUUUUCUUCACCACUCUUCACCGUAAUUGACUUCGGCCUACGAUGGGCCGAAGUCAAUUACGUCAUUUCAGGUUAACUCGAGUUUCGACCGUAACUUAUUUACGGCGAGCCAAACAACGAAACUGAUCAUUUAUGACGAAAACAACUUUCCUCCUCUCCACUUCCACCCCACUUCCACCCAAACAAACAUGCCAAGCAGAACUGACAGAACUUCACUUCCAUAGCUAAAAACAAAUAGCGGAGGUGAAGUAGUUUUCACCAUAAUUAGUUAUUUCGGAUUCGGCAAAAAAUCGGUAUGGAUAUAAUUCGAAUAAAAUUUGUAUUUUAAUUUUCAAAUUCGUUGAAAAUUACGGCUUAAAAAAUGGAAAUGCGAUUUAUACGGAUAUUAUACGUUCACCAAAUAACAAUUCGGGGUAAAAAAUUCGGCUAUUAAACUAAGAUUUUUCUCUAGAUUUAUGCUACCAGCAUACAUAGUUAUAAAUUCUUAAAAUUAUAAAAAAAUUACAAAAUAAAGUAGAUUAAGUAAAAAAAUUAAUAGCAAAUUUUAUUGUCAUCUCCACUUUCAUCUUUUUCAUGAUCCAUAUAUUUCGGAAGUUUAUGAAGUUUGUCAAUAAUUCGUAAAUAAUUCGGUAAUAAUUUGGCAAUAAUUCGGAAAUAAAUUUUAUCCAAAAAAUUUGGGCCUUUUUUUUUGGCCGAAUAGUCCCACGUACACGAAUUUUUCCAGAAUAAUAAAUCUAUCUGAAAAAUUCACGUAUUAUUUUGGUUUUUUUGGGAAUAAAUCGUAUACGAACUGUUUUAUUCAAAUUUUCAAUAAUUCGCGAAUAAUUCAUGAAUAAUUUGCGAAUUAACCAACUAUGAUUUUCACAUGGACUCUAGUCUAACCAAAAGUUCACUUCAACACAAAGUUUAGUUACGUUGAAACAAGCAGGGUUAG